AGACAAGGGGUGAAACGAAAUCCCCAAAAUUUUGAAAACCCGCCUCGAUUUUUCUAUCUUCUAUCUAUCUUUCAUCCUUGCAAUCCACUCUCCCCUCUCUGAUACUCUCUCCUCUAGAUCUCCCUUCAUUCUCUACCUCCCGUCUCUCUGUAAACCCUAAGCCAUCGCCACCUCCCUUCUCUCUAGCACGUGCUAGGGGUUUUAUUUUCUUUCAAGCUUCCGCUUCUCUCGUUUUCUCUCAACCCAGUACGUGCGAGGGUUCGGAAUAACUGAGCGUAUUCAAACAAUCAAUCUUCCAUUUGAACUUCUUUCAACUCUGGAUCAUCGAGUAUUUUUUCAGAUUCCUUUUCCUGUUUUGUUCAUUUAAGACAAAGAAAGAUUGGGACGAUGGGUAUGUUCAAACCCUAGACCACAUUCACGCCUCUCCAUCCACACUCGCUACCUUUUCCUCUGUUUCUUCCUCUAACACCGUUGAUCUAGGGCAAAAUCUCCGCCAUCUUCAGUUCAUCUUCAGUAAUAUGGAUUUGAAACCGUUGAUUUUGGAAGGGAGAGAUAGGGUUUCUGGAAUUUUAUCAUGAUAUGAAACCCAAUAACUGAAGUGAUGAGAAGUCAGGGGUAUUUUGGACCAUACGAGUCAAAUAUAUUGGAAGGGUCAUGACCUGUGACAAGGAGGGGCAAGAAGGGCGGCCCAUUAUUUUCAGGGGGGCUAAAAAUAAAGAUAGUCCAAUUUUUCACUUACUCACACGCGAGAAGGCGACAUAGAUCGAUCGCAGCAGAACACAUAAAUCAUCAACGAUUCACGCCUUAACGACAACAUCGACUAGCGAGGUCCCAGGGUUGAUGUGAUUCUGUGAAGGAUCAAUUUAUGCGCUCCUACAGUCUUGCUUAUUCUUCUGACUUCUAAUCAAGUUCACUCUUUUGUCUGAAUCAGAUUCUUGGAGCACCAAAUGAGGAAAUUUUGUUAAUUCACGAAAUAUUUGGAUUGUGUCUAGCAGGAGGGAGGGAAGUCCAUGAUGUAGUUGUGAAAAGUAUUCAAGAUCUGGCAAAAGCAUUCUCACUUUAUGAUGUUGAAAUGCUGGUAAGAAGGGAAGAAUUACUUCAGUUUGCUCAAACUGCAAUCACUGGGCUUAAAGAAACUGGUGACAUAGCACGGUAGAAUAGAUUUUGAAAUCUCACAAAUACAUCAACGAUUGAAUAGAAUGAAAUGCCAGCAAUCUGCACAUGAAGCCAGUGACAAUUCUUCUGAGGCAACAAGCACUGCAUCAUUAAUGAUUAAGCUGUUGAUGAAAUCAAUACAACAAUAAACCCUAAUAGGAAACCAUAUGUGAAAAAACACACCUUUUCUGAUGCAAGAAAUAGAAGAACCUGUUACACAUAUUUAGUUGUGCUGCAGAUUGAAGUCAUUUUUACUGAAGAAAUGAUUGUUGAGAUAUGGGGAUACAAUAGAGACUCAUGCUCAGAGAGUUGAUAUAUUAAAAGUUCUAGUAGAAUCUCUUCAUAACUCGGCCUCCAAAACAAAAAUGCGAACUUUGGACAGAGGGAAGAGAAAAACGAAGCCCUUACUUUUCGUGUAGCUAGAAGCAAUGAAGUCAGCCAAAUUGAGAAGGUUUGAUGGCAUUUUGGAAGUUUAUUACAUUUAUUUUAUUAUCUUUAGAUGAUUAGAUUCUAUUACCUUAAUUUGAAGAUUAGAACAUUUUUAAGGAGUUGGGAGCUGAAAUUAGUGAGCUUGAAAAGCAAAGAGACAAAAUCGAAGCUGAAUUGAGAGAGGUAAUCUUCAUUGUGAAGUCUAAGUUUCUAACUCUUAACACAUGGUUUUUGUUAGCUCCUCCUUCCGAUAUUGCCCUUGUCACCCUGUUAUCCGGUUGGGCUUGCAAAGGGCGUCCAAGGGAAAUAUGCUUGUCUUCAAGCACAAAAGGUUGUUGUCAUGCAAGGGCAUUUUUGGAAUCCAGUAAUGGUUGCAAUCCACCUUGUUGUGCAAUGGCAUUUUUGGAAAUAUGCCUGUCUUCAGGCACAACAGAAAAAGUGCUAUGUGUGCAAUACGAAAGAGGAUGGUUGCUGGAGGGAAAUAAUGAACAUCAGGUUGGGCGCAAGUUUUACACCAAUGGGUUAUAAGGUGGACUGAGGUGAUAGAUCAACCAGAGGGGUCAUCCUUUUAAAAGAUUGAUUUUAUCCCCUCUAUAUGUUAAAGGACUUGGUAGAUCAUCAUCUGGUGGAAUCUUGAGUUCCAUUACUUAUGGAGCCAAUGAGAUUGCUUCUUCUGCUCUAGCAAGUAUCACAAGUCAAAGUAAGAAAAACAAAGGGAAUUUCAAUCGAGUGAAUUUAGAUAAAGAUAAAGGUAUAGGGGAAUCGUCUAUCUUCUUGCAUGCCUUCUAGAACCUUUUAUGCCAUCGUUUUCUAUUGA